UACGAAGGGGGCUAGCGUUGCUCGGAAUUACUGGGCGUAAAGGGCGCGUAGGCGGAUAUUUAAGUCGGGGGUGAAAGCCCAGGGCUCAACCCUGGAAUAGCCUUCGAUACUGGAUAUCUUGAGUUCGGGAGAGGUGAGUGGAACUCCGAGUGUAGAGGUGAAAUUCGUAGAUAUUCGGAAGAACACCGGUGGCGAAGGCGGCUCACUGGCUCAUUACUGACGCUCAGGCGCGACAGCGUGGGGAUCAAACAGG
rnacentral:rRNA from 1 species